GGGCGCGUGGUCUAGUGGUAUGAUUCUUCCUUAGCAGUGUUUCCGCUUACACGAGCAUGAAACCUGGAUGGAAGAGGUCCUGGGUUCAAUUCCCAGCGCGUCCA
rnacentral:tRNA from 1 species